GGGAGAAGGAGAGGGCCUUCCGCCUAUGGUAGCCUCCAGUCUCUCCCAGAACAAAGGACCUCCCAGGGUGGGGGGAAGAGGUAUUAUCUCUACUCACACAAUGGGUGGAGAUUUCCAAGAGAAGGGGAGGGAUUAUGAAAAUCAGAUGUGCGCAGCUGGAACUCAAGAUGGACCCUCCCCCAAGAGCUGUCGAAACAAGGACGGAGUCGGUUGUGAGGGCUGCUGGGGUGUGGAACAGGACUCACUCUGGGAUGUUGCACAAGCUCCAAACCCGGCGGGGAAACGAAAAACAACCCUGAGGAAGUUGCCACUUAACUGCUGCUGACAAAAAUAUACACUGAAAAUAGAAUUUCUGCUGAAAAUAAAAUGUUCUGAGAAGGAAGAAGCAGACCCUCUACUUUACCAACCAUGAUGUCCUACUCCAGGAACGGAUCCCAGCUGACAACAUGUCCAAAGUCUAUGAUAUGCAAGACACGGUGCAUGUUGCUGGGCCCAGUCCACAAGGACAAACACUACUUCAGCUCACAGCAGCUGAGGAUCUGUUGGAGCAAAGAAAAAUGAAGAAAACCAAAGACUCAAGGAAAGAAUUAGUCCAAAGGACUAAUGGCCCACAGCAACCACAGCCUCCACUAACCUGAGACCAGAAGAACUAGAUGAAAUGCGUUGGAUCUGCUGGAUUCUCUAAAUCUGAUUGACAGACUGGGAAAAGAGAGGUGAAAGACUGAGUGGGAUGGUUUUAUGAGACAGGCUUGGAAAUGGCAUGCAUUACUUUGGCCCACAAAUCACUGGCAAGAACUGGUACAGUUCCCCUACUAAAAACAGAGGAUUGGGAAAUACAGUUCCUGAUUUGGAAGGGAAGUUCCAGCAAACUCUCCAUACUGUGGAACAGGAGCAUGAAUUUUGGUAGAGAGCUAGCCAUCUCGACCACACAAACCAACUCUAAAAAGCUCAGUAAGAUAAGGCAGUUACUGGAAGCGGAGCUCCACGAACUUGGACAAAAAUGGACCAUGUGCAAUUCUGAAGCCAGCCAGAGACCAGAUGCCUCUGAUAGAGUCCUCCCUGCCAGUCAGGGCAUGACCCAGCUGAUUAAAAUACCAGGGUAGAAUGAACAAUGUGGAAAAACUGAUCAACCGGAGAACAAAGCCCAGCAUGACACCCAGAUUUUUUCCCCCUUUCCUCUCAUCAAAAGAUAGGCAGCCCAGCACAAAAUUCAAUCUAAAUUUGAAUUCUACUUAAUAUCAUCAAUAGAAUUUUUCAUCGGGCUUGUUCUGCAUUCAGUGAUAAAAGUGGCACGCAAUUAUUUUCGAUUGAACCAGUAAUAUUGCGCUGAGAAGUCUCUGAAGACUUUCUGCUGAGUGCCAGUUGUUAAUGAAUCCCAUUUGUCUUUCUUGAUUAAGUCUGCUAUUACCCCCUGUUUAGUCCUGUCACCAACCCUUCAGCAAGAAUUUUCAUAUCACUGUUUAGAUGAGAAAUUAGCCUAUGAGAGCAGCACUCAUCAAUCAGAGGCAGUUUAUUUAAUACAGUUUACAGUUUAUGAGUUCAAAAACUGUAGCCUCAUACAUUAGAAAUGGAUCACUGUCCCAGGCAGAGACAAUCAGGGGGUUCAGUUCACUUGACAGGCGUGGAGAAGCCACUCUGAAUGUGAGAUGCGCACUUAGAGAAGGCCUGCAGUAUCACACGCCUGCAGCUGAGUGCCAGGAGGCUUUCUCUUCUGAUUAGGAAACCCCAUUUGAUUUAAGAAAGUAUUCAAUUUUUGGUACUUAACCAUGCUAUCCUACAACACUGUGACUAGAAACUCCAAAAGGAAAUUUUAGAAUAGUCUCAUUUCUAUGUGAUAUGGAUUUUUUCCCCUUGUUUGCAAUAUUUUUAAAACAGCUCAGGUUGAAUAUUUAUCCAUCCGCUGAAAUCUUAAAGACCAAGCUGUCCAUGAAAGUUGUAGUUUUGCAAAGAGUAAUCCAGUUGUUGGUGGUGGUGUUAUUGUUGAGUGCCGUUGAGCUGAUUCAGACUCAUCGUGACCCCUUGUAACAGAGUCGAAUUGCACCACAGAGUUUUCUUGGCUCUAAUCUUUACAGAAGCAGACUACCAGAUCUUUGUCCUGCACAGCCACUGAGUGGGUUUGAACUGCCAACCUUUUGGUUACCAGCCAAGCACUUAACCACUGCAGCACCAGGGCUGCUUUACUACCCAGUGGGCACAUAUAAAUAGCACAGAAGAAAAUGGAGUUUGGCUGUUACGUAACAGAGCUAUAUAGCUAUGUGACCAACAAACUGGGUGAUUUUGGCCCCCAAGAGGGUUUUAGGAGACGCAGACUGGCGUAAUCUGUUAGUUAUUUGAUAAUAUCAAGGAUUGUGGUCGAUUUCUGAACACUAUACAUCAUGAUGUACCGAACAAGCUGGAUUUAGGGAACUGCUUUCCGUAAUCUUAAUUCAUUUAAAGCUAUAGUCCUCCACUCAUUUUACCUAUGGCUUCCUCUUUUUUUUUCCAAAUCAAUGUUUUACCAACAAAAAGUAUCAUUUGUAUUCUUGCUAAGUUUGAAGAAGCAAUAAUAAGCAAACAUUUGCUGGGAGCACUCAACUCCUGUCUCCCACUUGCUAUAUGUUGGCAUUAAAUCUUAGGAAGGAGAAUACCUUAGAAAGAUUUAGGAGCCAGAGAAUACUAGCUACUAUCAGAGCAUAUAAACUUUGCCAUUACUGCUAUCCCUCAGUGGCUACUUGGAGAUAUAUAAAUCUAACUUCCCUGACCCCUUUGAAAUUCUUAAUGACAUCAGAUGAUAUUGAUCCCUGUUUUAAAGAAUAGUCUACUUUUCUUCUCAGAAUGAUAUUUUAUGUCUAGAUUUGGGUAUGUUAUGCUAAAAAGUGCUUUAUUUCAAUCAUCCAUUAUUGUAAUUGCUUUCGUUGUCCUACAUAAAGAAUAUAUGGUCAUUGUAAAAAAAAAAAAAAAGAAAUCAAGCAGCAUAGGAGUAUAUGAAAUAAAAAGUCAGUUGCCCUAAAUUACUCCUUAUUCCCAUUCACCAAGUAUAAGAAUGGAUGCCUUCAAAUUGUGGUGUUGGCAAAGAAUACUGAACACACCAUGGACUGCCAGAAGAAGAAAAAAAUCUGUCUUGGAGGAAGUACAGCCAGCGUACUCCUUAGAAGGGAAGAUGGUGAGACUUCGUCUUACAUACUUUGGACAUGUUAUCAGGAGAGCCUAAUCCCUGGAGAAGGACAUCAUGCCUGGCAGAGGGUCAGCAAAAAAGAGGAAGACCCUCAAUGAGAUGGAUUGACACAGUGGCUGCAAUAAUGGGUUCAAACAUAGCGACAAUUGUGAAGAUGGCACGGGACCAGGCAGUUUUAUUCUUGUAGUACAUAGGAUCACUAUGAGUCAGAACUGCCUCAAAGGCAUCUAACAACAACAACAACAAAUAUAAGCACUUUUAAGGUUGAUGUAUAUCCUUUGGAGUCUUUUUAUGCACAUUCAAACACUAUUUCUAACGCUUAACAAAAAAUGAGACUAUAUUACAUAUGUUAUCCUAUAACUUGCUUCAUUUAUGUAACAUAUGUCAUGACCAUUCUUCCGUUUCAGUAUUAUCAAUAUAAAUCAUGUUAUUUUUAUUGGCUGAUAUGUAGAUACAUAAUUUACUAAAACAUUUCCCUAUUAAAAGGCAUUUAGAUGAUCUCCAAUAAUUUUGCUACUACAAAACUGCAUUGGACAUUUUUGGGCUUUUCCCUUGAUCAUUUGUGUGCAAUUCAGAUUUGUAGAUUCAAAGGUUAUGUAUUUUUAAAUUUUAAGUAAUAUUGACAGAGCUUCCCAUGAUUAAAAAAAACUUAACACCUUAUGAUUAAUUUCUCACACACU